rnacentral:tRNA from 1 species
ACAUAUGGUGUAAAAAACACAUUAGCUUUUCAUGCUAAAUUUAUAUUAAAUAUUAUGUA